AGGCUUGGGGUAGGUAGUUAGGGAGCAUUUCGGAAUGGCGGCAAUUACUAACAUUACGGGAAUUCUCUUAAAACCUACAACGCAAGAGCGGAUAGAUGUCCGUUAACCGAUUUCAGCGGCUUUGAGCGGAAGACAGUGACGGCAGCGGCCGCCACGCACGCAGCACUUCCGGUGCCCGGAGCCCCCCGACCGCGUCUCCCAUCAGGGCCCUUAAUCCAGAGCUCCAGACAAAGGCCUUUCAGCGCCUAACCCAGCGGAUUCGUGCCCACCGCGGGGACGGCGUGGUCGCCUGCAGGACGUCCCCGGGCCGGGCACUCGGACUGGCAGCGCCCAGCAAAGCCUUUUCUGACGGCGGGCAGCAGUGUUCAGGCCCAGUUUCUUUUUCAUUCAUUGUUUAUACUCUACAGACCACUUAUUCCUACUUGACAUUUGUCUCCCUUUAACGCUGGCGUGCCAGAGCAGGGGAAUUUUUUCCCUUGUUCCUCGCUAUAUCCCCAGUACCCAGAACAGGGGCACCACGCAAUACUUGUUGAAUGGAUAAUAAACAGGUGCGGUCGCUGGUGUCAUGAACUCCGCCUCCCAGAGGGGGUUUGGAACACAGAGACCUGGCCCCAUCCAGGGUGAGAGAGGAUCGUGGUCAGUGCUAAUAAAUAGGGCAUGAUGAAGGGAACGCCUAUGCAAUUUACGUCUUCCAAUAGACACAUUAAAAACAUAGAAAGACAGGUGAGAUCAAUUUUAAUAUAUUUUGUUUAGACCAGUAUAUCCAAAAUAUUAAACAUCUAAUCAAUAUAAAAAUUACAAAUACCUUACAUUCUUUUUUUCAGUCUUUGCAAGCUGGUGUUUAUACUUAUUGCACAUCUCAAUUCAAAUAUUAAAUUUUCAUUGAAAAUAAUCAAGAUUACAUAAAACUUGAAAUGGAAAAAGUAGAUUCAUAUACCCAAAUUACUCCAAACAUACUUAAAGCCAUUCCAAUAACUGAAUUGAGUACCAGUUUUAAAUUAAUUAAAAUUUAGUUUUAGUUGCACAGCCACAUGUACCUAGCGGCUACUGUAACGGAUAAUGCAGAUCUAGGUCAAGGAGGGGCCGGGUCAAGGGGCAAAGGAGGGUAGCACCAGGCACUUGGCAUGGAGGGAACAAUGUCUCAGAAACUGCCAUGUAAGCUCUUUAUGCAAGUCUCAUUUGUGGACAGAUUCCUCUAGUUCUCAAACGUGAGGUAUGGCUUCCUAAAAUAGACAUCUUUAGCAUGAUUGCUGCAUAGCCUUUAGGUUCCCUAGGAAUCCUUUUGUGGGGUAGGAAGUGGGCCUAGCAGCGCUGGCCAUAUGUACCAUUUCUAAGUAGAAUCUUAUCGUAUAUGACAUGGAACAGUCAUGGAAAUCCGAUUAUUUUCUCAUAGAUCAGUGGUUCUCAAAUGGGGGCAAUUUUGCCCCUCAGGGAACACCUUCACCUCAAGAAAUUUUUACUUGUCACAAGUGGGGGUGCUAGAGUUAUCUCGUGGGUGGAGGCCAGGGAAUACUGCUAAGCAUCCUACAAUGCAGAGGACAGCCCCACAAGGAAUUGUCUGGCCCAAACAUCAACAGAACCAAGAUGGAGAAAGCUUGCUCUCAAGGGUUUGAGUAAGAAAGACCCAGAGCUGUUCUUUCCGGACCUCAGCGUAACUACCGCCUGAUAUUACUAAAGGAAGGACAGAUUGGAAGCAUUUCCAAGUUUCUAGUUGUGUUUUCACUAUUGAUGGACUCUGAUAAGACUAUGAAGAAAUGAUUUCAUGCUCAGGAUGAAAGCGUCGUCCCGCUCAAUAAAGAUACGGCACACCUUGGAGACACAGCGGGUUCCAUUCCAGACCACCCCAGUAAAGAGUGUUGCAAUAAAGCGAGUCAUAACCUUUCUGCUGGUGGAUGCUCUACCUCCAAUGUGUAAAAAACACACCAUCUGUGAAACGCCAUAAAGUGAAAGGCAAUACAAGAGGUAUGCCUGUACACCCCUCUUCUGAUUUUCCUCUCAAUUACUGACACCAUUGUCUGUCACGUUGCCCAAGCUGUAGACUGGGACUGUAUUAAAAUACCACCCCCCAAUAUCCAAUCAGAUCUGUUCAUUCUACUUACUAAAUAUCUCAUGAAUUUUAGUUUUCCCCUCCUUCUCUCUCCAGCCUCACUUCUGCUCUGGCCAGCCUACUCUAUAUCUGAGAGUGGUCUCUCCCUGACCCCAUGGUGUUUAUAUCUCUUCUCCCGACGAUAGUCGUGUGCUCAUUCAUUUACAAACUUUGGAAAACAGAAAAGAAGAAAAUAAGUCACCUGUGAUUUCAUUACCUUGAAUAAGCUUUGUCUACAUUUGGAGGUGAUCCUUCCGAUCUUUUUCUAUGUAACUUAUUAAAAAAUGGAAUCAUGGAUAGUGA